rnacentral:SRP_RNA from 1 species
GCCAGGUACGAUGGUGCCCACCCUUAGGCCCAGCUGCUGGGAAGGCUGAGGUAGGAUUACCUGAGCCCAAGAGUUCUGGGUGGUAGUGUGCUAGGCCGAUCUGGCGUCUGCACUAAGUUGUCAUCACUAUGGUGACCUUAGCCAAGGACCACCAAGUUGCCUAAGGUUGGGUAAACCGGCUCAAGUCGGAAAUGGAGCAGGUCAAAACCCCUCUGCUGACCAGUAGUGGGAUGGUACCGGUGAAUAACAACUAGACUCCAGCCUGGGCAACAUAGCAACACCUUGUUUCA